rnacentral:misc_RNA from 1 species
UUGACUUAUUUGAUAAGUUACUCAGAGAGGCCUACAAAAACAGGGUUUUAGGUACCGCCGGCGGGCGACCCCAGAGGGGCUGACACCGCCGAGGCAACGGUUACGGGUAACGUUCGCGAUGGUUGUGGGAGUUUUGCAACUCGUUAAUGAUCCCUCCGCUGGUUCACCAACGGAGA